rnacentral:rRNA from 1 species
UACGGAGGGGGCUAGCGUUGUUCGGAAUUACUGGGCGUAAAGCGUACGUAGGCGGUUUUGUAAGUUAGAGGUGAAAGCCCGGAGCUCAACUUCGGAAUUGCCUUUAAGACUGCAUCACUUGAACGUCGGAGAGGUGAGUGGAAUUCCGAGUGUAGAGGUGAAACUCGUAGAUAUUCGGAAGAACACCAGUGGCGAAGGCGGCUCACUGGACGACUGUUGACGCUGAGGUACGAAAGCGUGGGGAGCAAACAGG